rnacentral:rRNA from 1 species
CCUACGGGUGGCAGCAGUGGGGAAUAUUGCACAAUGGGGGAAACCCUGAUGCAGCGACGCCGCGUGAGUGAAGAAGUAUUUCGGUACGUAAAGCUCUAUUAGCAGGGAAGAAAAUGACGGUACCUGACUAAUAAGCCCCGGCUAACUCCGUGCCAGCAGCCGCGGUAAUACGUAGGGUGCAAGCGUUAUCCGGAUUUACUGGGUGUAAAGGGAGCGUAGGCGGGAGCGUAAGUCUGGUGUGAAAGCCCAUGGCUUAACCAUGGAACUGCUUUGGAAACUGUGCAGCUGGAGUGCAGGAGAGGUAGGCGGAAUUCCUGGUGUAGCGGUGAAAUGCGUAGAUAUUAGGAGGAACACCAAUGGCGAAGGCGACUUACUGGACUGUAACUGACGUUGAGGCUCGAAAGCGUGGGGAGCAAACAGGAUUAGAUACCCUAGUAGUC